CUAUUAAUACAUGCAAGGCCCUUCAAACAGUGUGUCUGUCGCAGAAGUAUAAUUUUAUUGGCCUGUAGGACUGUGUGAGACUCAGGUGGCUCAGAGAGGCUGCUUUGUGGGAGGAGAAAAGCGUGCCUUUUGGAGAGAACUGAUAUCCUUGGUCUCAAGGCCCCUGUGCCCUCCAUCUUACCUGGAGCCUCAGAGGCCCAGCCAACCCUGCCCCUGACCACUCCUCACAACGGGGAAUCUCACAGGUGGUAUGUGUGGGUUUCCACCUUCACAAACCACACUCCUGUGCUUCUGGCUUAGGAGGCACCCACAGGUCCCCCAGACACAGCCCAGGGAGCGCUGGCCCGGAAUUGUCACAGGGGUAGCGGGUCCUCAUGUUGCGCACACACAGGUUGCCAGGCAGAGCGCACUGGGUCUCCCAGACCGCUGGCCCUCUGUUGCCCAGAAGGAAGAUAAACAUCACUCUGGCAGUCGUCCCUGCCCUCCCAGCCCCCGGGGCUCUUCCCAAAGAUGGAGACACUUUUCUCCCUGAAAGCUCUGCUCUCUCCACCUGCCCUGGGGGUCAUCUGUGUGUCCAGAGAGCUGCUUAGCAACCCAGGGUAACUGGGUGAUUGUGUCAACAGCUCAGGACCAAAGGCCGUGAGAGGCAGAGUCCACUUACUCUGCCAAAGCUGAGGAAGGUGACACCCCCCUGCCAGCCUCAGGCCCCUCCAUGCGGAGCCCUGCUCUCAGCAGCAGACUUCUCCCGUCUUGUCCCUUAGACUUCCCAAGCACAGUCACGGGGACCAGGAGUCUCCCUGUGAGAGACUGUCCCAGUGGGCACAGGGGGGCUCCUCCCCCAGCCAAUUGGGAGGGGGAAAAGCCUGCGAUGCUGAGGUCACAUGUGUGACUCUGGAAGGUGGCUGGUGGGAGAAGGCUGCUGCUCUACAUGCACAUGAGAUUCACAUGUGAGCAGUCAGCCAGGCACCCUUACCUCCCGAAGCAUGGACACCUCUUCCCACUUCUGCAAGCCACCCCCACCCCACUCCUCCUGAGCCGGCCCUCUCUUGAGUCAGUCACACCUUUCUUCUCCAAGGACUCUGCCUAGAGAUGGAUGGUGAGAUGGGUGGUGAGGUGCCAGCCGUUGGCAUUUCCUAUUCCUCCAGUGCAGGGUGGGAGCUGGGCCCAGGGGGAGGGGGUGGCUAGGCAUUGGAGGCAGCAGGGACUCAGGGGAGCUUCUCCUGUGGGCCGGUUUCACUCCCAGCAACACCAAUAAAAAUGAUGAUAAUAA